rnacentral:rRNA from 1 species
UACGUAUGGGGCAAGCGUUGUUCGGAAUUAUUGGGCGUAAAGCGUCCGCAGGUGGUUGAACAAGUCUGCUGUCAAAGCGCGGAGCUUAACUCCGUACAGGCGGUGGAAACUGUUGAACUGGAGUACGGUAGGGGUAGCGGGAAUUCCCAGUGUAGCGGUGAAAUGCGUAGAUAUUGGGAAGAACACCAGCGGCGAAAGCGCGCUACUGGGCCUGUACUGACACUGAGGGACGAAAGCUAGGGGAGCAAACGGG